CCCGGCGUCCCGACCUGACCCGGAAGCAGCUGUCAGGCCCAACAGCUCCACGUGACCCGGGCGCAGUCUACGUCCUCUGCGUGAGUGGGCGGGGCCGGAGGAGCUGGGCCUCACCCCGUCUCGCGCUGCCCUGGCGGCAGUGUCCGGUUGCCAUGGCGGCGGGGCCCGCGCCGGCGAGUUGUCCCCGGGAGAUGCCCUGUUGGGAUGCUGUCUGUGGUGCGGCCGGAGGGCCAGCCGGUGCCGCGGAGGAGCGCAGACGGUCCGCGCCUGGGCGGCUGAGGGCUGCGGCCUCCCCGAGCGGCCCUGGGUUGAGCCUUCCCGGCUCACUUGGAAUCGUGUCCUGGGGUCACUCAUUUGUGGUGGGACCCUGACCAACUCACUUCCGGUCUCGCGUCGGCGUCCUCAGCAGGAACAUACACGGAGUAGGAUGGUGCUGGCUGGCCCUGAGAAGUCGGCCUUUGUGGAUAUGUUAGCUGAAGUGUUAGGAGCCGAGGUCUGUUGCCUGGGCUGAGUGUGCUUUCCUGUGGUGUGUGUCAGGAAGCAGCAAAAAGGAAGAAGCAAUAGGAGAGCCAGGAUCCUGCCCCGCCCCCACCCUGCUGUUGAUGAAAACAGAACAGCAACAAGCUGCCUCUUACAGCAGAGUCCUGUCUCCACCCACAUGGGUACCAGACUCCACUCCAAGGAGAUGAAGCAAAAUCUGUUUUUCUAAACAUAAAAAAAUUGUGUGUGUGUGUCCAAUUAUAUACAUCAUCUGAAUAUUGCAUUGUGUGUUCAUCACCACCCCAAAUUUUUUCAACAACCCUAAGACUCAGUGUUGCUUCCUCCACUAAAGCCUAUCUCAGCCCCUGGACACGGCCCUGCGUUCCUACCUGGUUAUGUUCCAGACCCAACACUCCAGGGCCUGGAUGGUGUGUGCUUCACUUUUGCUGCCUCUUUCAGGUGAGUCUAUCCUCCCAGACAGAGCACAGUGUAUCUACGGCAUCAUUUCCCACAGAGUCUAACGUGUCCCGGAUGCUAAAGAAAAGUCCGCCAAGGUCAUGCAUCAAUCCAUGAAACAGUGCCAACGGGUGAGAGGCCUCUGGUCCCUGCUUUCCUCUGAGCUUUUGAGAGUCAGGGAGCACGCUGGACUGGCGGAGAAUACUGAAGCACGCAGCAUUCCUCCGCUGCGUGGCUGGCCGGAGGAUCACUGCACUUGCACCGACUCCCUGAGAUGUGAACCUCGGACAUGGGAAUGUCACACCCAGGCUCUCAGCUCUUCAGGCAGAUUGAAUACCCAGUUUCUUUAUGCUUGUUCUUAGGCCCCUGCUCUUCUGCCAUUUGUGAUUAGAGAGGCUGUUACUUUAUUGCUCCAUAAAUGUCUUUCUUUCUUGACCUCA